AUUGAACGCUGGCGGCAGGCUUAACACAUGCAAGUCGAGCGGAGAUGAGGUGCUUGCACCUUAUCUUAGCGGCGGACGGGUGAGUAAUGCUUAGGAAUCUGCCUAUUAGUGGGGGACAACAUUCCGAAAGGAAUGCUAAUACCGCAUACGUCCUACGGGAGAAAGCAGGGGAUCUUCGGACCUUGCGCUACUAGAUGAGCCUAAGUCGGAUUAGCUAGUUGGUGGGGUAACGGCCUACCAAGGCGACGAUCUGUAGCGGGUCUGAGAGGAUGAUCCGCCACACUGGGACUGAGACACGGCCCAGACUCCUACGGGAGGCAGCAGUGGGGAAUAUUGGACAAUGGGGGGAACCCUGAUCCAGCCAUGCCGCGUGUGUGAAGAAGGCCUUAUGGUUGUAAAGCACUUUAAGCGAGGAGGAGGCUACUGAGACUAAUACUCUUGGAUAGUGGACGUUACUCGCAGAAUAAGCACCGGCUAACUCUGUGCCAGCCGCCGCAGUAACAC
rnacentral:rRNA from 1 species